GACGAACGCUGGCGGCGUGCCUAAUACAUGCAAGUCGAACGCAGUGGGGACGGGUGCGUAACACGUGGCUAACCUUCCCAUCAGAGGGGAUAACACUUGGAAACAGGUGCUAAACCGAUAUUGAUGGAUGGACCCGCGGUGCAUUAGCUAGUUGGUGUGGUAACGUCGCACCAAGGCCACGAUGCAUAGCCGACCGGAGAGGGUGACCGGCCACACUGGGACUGAGACACGGCCCAGACUCCUACGAGAGGCAGCAGUAGGGAAUCUUCGGCAAUGGACGAAAGUCUGACCGAGCAACGCCGCGUGAGUGAAGAAGGUGUUCGGAUCGUAAAACGCUGUUGUUAGAGAAGCGGUAUCUAACCAGAAAGCCACGGCUAACUACGUGCCAGCCGCCGCGGUAAUAC
rnacentral:rRNA from 1 species